CGCGGCCUAUCAGCUUGUUGGUGGGGUAAUGGCCUACCAAGGCGACGACGGGUAGCCGGCCUGAGAGGGUGACCGGCCACACUGGGACUGAGACACGGCCCAGACUCCUACGGGAGGCAGCAGUGGGGAAUAUUGCACAAUGGGCGAAAGCCUGAUGCAGCGACGCCGCGUGAGGGAUGACGGCCUUCGGGUUGUAAACCUCUUUCAGCACGGAAGAAGCGAAAGUGACGGUACGUGCAGAAGAAGCGCUGGCUAACUACGUGCCAGCAGCCGCGGUAAUACGUAGGGCGCAAGCGUUGUCCGGAAUUAUUGGGCGUAAAGAGCUCGUAGGCGGUUUGUCGCGUCUGCUGUGAAAGCCCGGGGCUUAACCCCGUGGUGUGCAGUGGGUACGGGCAGACUAGAGUGCAGUAGGGGAGACUGGAAUUCCUGGUGUAGCGGUGAAAUGCGCAGAUAUCAGGAGGAACACCGAUGGCGAAGGCAGGUCUCUGGGCUGUUACUGACGCUGAGGAGCGAAAGCAUGGGGAGCGAACAGGAUUAGAUACCCUGGUAGUCCAUGCCGUAAACGUUGGGCACUAGGUGUGGGGGACAUUCCACGUUUUCCGCGCCGUAGCUAACGCAUUAAGUGCCCCGCCUGGGGAGUACGG
rnacentral:rRNA from 1 species